GACGAACGCUGGCGGCACGCUUAACACAUGCAAGUCGAGCGAGAACCAGGGCUUCGGCCCUGGGGACAGCGGCGAACGGGUGAGUAGCACGUGGAUAACCUGCCCUCGGCACCGGGAUAGCCCGGGGAAACCCGGAUUAAUACCGGAUGGCCCUUCCGGCUCACGAGCCGGUCGGAAAAGGUAGCUUCGGCCUCCGGCCGAGGCUGGGUCCGCGGCGGAUUAGCUUGUUGGUGGGGUAACGGCCCACCAAGGCUCCGAUCCGUAGCUGGUCUGAGAGGACGAUCAGCCACACUGGGACUGAGACACGGCCCAGACUCCUACGGGAGGCAGCAGUGGGGAAUCUUGCGCAAUGGGCGAAAGCCUGACGCAGCGACGCCGCAUGAGGGAGGAAGGCCUUCGGGUUGUAAACCUCUUUCAGGAGGGACGAAGCUACUCGGGUGAAUAGCCCAGAGGGUGACGGUACCUCCAGAAGAAGCCCCGGCUAACUACGUGCCAGCCGCCGCCGUAA
rnacentral:rRNA from 1 species